GCAGGGAUGGUGGAACUGGCAGACACGCUACUUUGAGGGGGUAGUGGAUAUUCCUCCGUGCGGGUUCAAAUCCCGCUCCCUGCA
rnacentral:tRNA from 1 species